UACGAAGGACCCGAGCGUUAUCCGGAUUCAUUGGGUUUAAAGGGUGCGUAGGCGGAACGAUAAGUCAGUGGUGAAAGCCUGCGGCUUAACUGCAGAACUGCCAUUGAUACUGUCGAUCUUGAGUACAUUUGAUGUGGGCGGAAUGUGCCAUGUAGUGGUGAAAUACUUAGAUAUGGCACAGAACACCGAUCGCGAAGGCAGCUCACAAAACUGUAACUGACGCUGAGGCACGAAAGCGUGGGGAUCAAACAGG
rnacentral:rRNA from 1 species